UAGGGAAUAUUGGUUAAUCUGCGAAAGCGGGAACCAGCAACGCCGCGUGCACGAUGAAGGCCUUCGGGUUGUAAAGUUCUUUUUGAAAGGAUGAGGAAGGACAGUACUUUCAGAAUAAGCUUCGGCUAACUACGUGCCAGCAGCCGCGGUAAAACGUAGGAAGCGAGCGUUAUCCGGAUUUACUGGGCGUAAAGCGUGUGUAGGCGGUUUGACAAGUUGGAUGUGAAAGCUCCUGGCUUAACUGGGGAAGGGCGUUCGAAACUGGCAGACUUGAGAGUGGUAGAGGGAGGUGGAAUUCCGGGUGUAGUGGUGAAAUGCGUAGAUAUCCGGAGGAACACCAGUGGCGAAAGCGGCCUCCUGGCCCAUUUCUGACGCUCAGACACGAAAGCUAAGGUAGCAAACG
rnacentral:rRNA from 1 species